GGUGCAGAAACAGGACGGAGAAGGGGGCUGUAUUUCCCCUGGCGUGUGAAAUGGAUGUUAGUGACUAAAGCUCAAUUUUCCAGUUAAGGGAGGAGCCGAGACUUUUAAGUCGAGUGUUCCUGUGGGGCCAAAAGGAUGGUUUCAGAGAAAUCCCAGGAAGUGAGAGUGCUGGGAUAUGCGAGGGGCCCACGGAGCCCUCCCCUGCGUGUCUGAGAUCACACCCUGCGGGUACCCUGCCGUCGUGUGCUGAAGGAGGUGACUGGAUCUCGACUCCAGAGUUUGCUCCUGAGAUCGAAAAACAAAACAACCCAAUAAUAGUAAUGACAGCCCUGGGUGGGGACAGUUGCAGCAGGUCUCAUGAGAAACUCACUAAUUUUGUAGGUUCAGGGAAGGCGUGGGCAUGUUGGUGAAGUAAGGUUCUGAGUGGAAGAAGAAAAUGCUGCUUCUGGGGAAGAGAAUACCGUCAGAAGGAAGGAAAGAAAGGAGGGAGUGGGAGGGGAGGGGAAAUCAAGGGAGAGGAGAAGAGGGGAGGAGGGAAGGUGAGGUGAGGUGAUUGGUAUUCUGCCAAUCCCAUUCUGCACACUAGUGAGACCUAGCAAGGACUAGAGUUUCAGGGGGAAAAUACGAGAAUAAUGAAAGAUAACAGAGAGGAAAGAAAAAAGAAAUAAUUGAAAAGUUUGAAAGAAGAAAGACAACAGCUGAACCAAUGGAGGUGAAAAUAGAAGGAAAUGAAAAUUCUGCAAGCUUUUGUUUCAUGGAUAAAAGGACUGUAUUUUCUGGUCCAUUAUCAGGAUACAAGAUGGAAAAAAAAGCUAUUGAACUUGUGGAGAAAGUGGCUGGUUUAAAUUAGUCCUGUCCCUGAAAAUCCAAGCUGCGUGUUUGUCAGUCUUAUGGCUGAUUUAACUCAUAGGCCCAGGAGAGAAAGGAUAGAAGGAAGCCUGAAUGACCAGCAAAGAAUCUGCAUCCAAUCAACACUCAGAGCAUGUAUGCUACAUUCUUCAGAAACCUUCAGGAGUCAUAGACUGUGAUUGUAUCUGCUUCCCUGUGUCUACUUGCUGGCUUGGAACUUAUUAAGAUUGGAUCCUUCCUGGAAGAAAUUUGCUGAUGGAGGCAGAAGGACACUCAGAAUUGAAACUGGCUAUAAGAACAUAAGAAAAAGACCCCUGAAACUAGGAAAGAAAGCUUCAAAGAGAUGGUCAUUUAGACAUUUUUAAAGAAUGAGAGGAAUUGUUGGAGAAGAUUGGCAUGGGAGAAGAGAAUUGAAGCAGAGGGAACAGCAUGUACAAAGGUACAAAGAUGUGAAACAGAAUGACCCGCUGGAGGAACUACAUCCUACUGACUAGAAUAUAGUGUCCAUGUGGGCCUGUGGCACAAGGAGAGAUAGGAACCCAAACCCGGUUGGAAAAUACGUGGGCCUGUGGCACAAGGAGAGAGAGGAACCCAAACCCGGUUGGAAAAUACAAUCUGGGAGGCAGCUGCGGGGUGUGGAGGAGCCUCAGGUUAUUCACUAUCUACAGCAUGCCCAGGUAGAGUGGUUUCAGCAGUCAGAGAGUGCCCUCAGGCAAAGAAUAGCAGCUGCUGACAGCUGGAAAUUGUAAUCCAUGGUAAUGGUUGCAGCUGAGAUGUGGGUGGGUACCCCCAGCAUCUCCUAGAUCAACCAUACAUUUGUGUGAGCCAUUUGGUUUUCUCUAGUAGGUCUUGAUUUAAGUUCCUGAACUCUGCCCACCACCACCAGCAGCCAUGACUUCUUGGCAAGACUCCAAACCCCUCCCUACCUUCACUCUUUAGGUAAGUUGUUUAAAGAUGCUAUGCCUCCUUGGGAAUUUCAUUGAUUUCCAUGUUCCAUUCUGCCUGUUCAGCCUCUGCCAACCACUGUCCUGGACUCUCUGGCAGACUGUGCCUUCCUGGUUCUUGUUGGUUACUGGUUGCUUACUGGUUGCAGCCCUAUACCUGUUCUUGAACCCCAACUAUUGACCCUGUCCUAGGUUUAGUUUACUAACAUGGUCUAAAUUCUAGUACAGUGAUAACUUGAAGAAGCUCAGGCCUAACUUACUAACCAUAAUAUCUUACCCUAUUGGAACUGAGCUUUUCCCAAAGAGUACCUCCAGUGUCUUCGCUCCAUCAGGAUCAGUCAGUCCUACCCUCACCCAACUAUCUAUAGCCCUAAAGGACCACUGAUCAUGGCAAGUUAAGGCAAUUAUCAAUAAGGAAGAACAAUGAUAAAGUAUUAGAAGAAGUUAAGUUAAAACCUUGUGUUGCUGAAUUUGAAAUAGAGAAGUAUCAAUAUUAACUUGUAAGGUAUUUUAUCUUUUAAAAAUUCCCUUGCUCUGUCCACUGAAAAGCCAAGAAAUAAUGAUCAACCUAGUAUCAAUGAAUAUCUCUAGAGCCAAUAUUGUGAAUCUGAAAUCUAUUUUCCAUUAAAAGAAAUCAUGGCUGAUUCUAGAUCUAGGGCAGGAAAUGUACAAGAUGAGUCUGGAACAUCUUAUAAUAGAAAGGAAGGAAGGAAGCUACACAUGAUCAUUAGGUGUAGGGUCCAGCCCUACAGGGCUUAGCAGGUGUUCUCCCCGUGUGCAAAGAUGAGAGAUUGUAAGAAAUAAAGACACAAGACAAAGAGAUAAAGAGAAAACAGCUGGGCCCGGGGGACCACUACCACCAAGACACAGAGACCGGUAGUGGCCCUUCCCUUUUAGGUAGCCGAAGCAAAGAGGGAAGGCAGUAUAUGUCAGCGUUUUCUUCCAUGCACUUAUAAGAAAGAUCAAAGACUUUAAGACUUUCACUAUUUCUUCUACCGCUAUCUACUAUGAACUUCAAAGAGGAACCAGGAGUAUGGGAGGAACAUGAAAGCGGACAAGAAGCGUGACCAUUGAAGCACAGCACCACAGGGAGGGGUUUAGUCCUCCGGAUGACUGUGGGCAGGCCUGGAUAAUAUCCAGCCUCCCACAAGAAGCUGGUGGAGCAGAGUGUUCCCUGACUCCUCCAAGGAAAGGGAGAUUCCCUUUCGCGGUCUGCUAAGUAACGGGCGCCUUCCCAGGCACUGGCAUUACCGCUUGACCAAGGAGCCCUCAAGCAGCCCUUAUGCGGGCGUGACAGAGGGCUCACCUCUUGCCUUCUAGGUCACUUCUCACAAUGUCCCUUCAGUACCUGACCCUAUACCUGCCGGUUAUUCCUAGGUUAUAUUAGUAAUGCAACAAAGAGUAAUAUUAAAAGCUAAUGAUUAAUAACAUUUAUACCAAUGAUUGAUAAUUGUCCACGAUCAUCUCUAUAUCUAAUUUGUAUUUUUUUAUUCCAACUAUUUUCUUUAUUAUACUGCUACAGCUUGUGCCUUUGGUCUCCUGCCUCGGCACCUGGGUAAUCCUUCACCCACAAUUAGGGCCAUGUUAAAGGAAUUCAGGAGUCACUUAUUAGCAAAGACAGAAUAAUUGGAGCACAAGCAUCAAGAAGAAUAAAAACUGAAAUCAUUUGAAAUGCACCAAAUUAUGUUUGAAUCCAUGGGUUUAAAAUGUUACCUUUUUAAAAAACUCUAUUUGAUCACCUGUGGAGUAUGAUUAGGAAGCAACUUAACUAUUUUGAGAACUUUUAAAUAAAGGGAAAGAAUCAGACACUUGUUCUGCCUUUCGUAUAUGAACUGAAUUAUUAGGUAGCCAAAUAGUCAGGGGAGGGGUCUUUUAAUAGACAUUAAAGCUAAUAAAUUAAGAAACAGUGAUUGAAUUCAAAUAUCAUUUGAAACCCUUAAUAUGUUAAUAGAACUAGGCAAUUAGCAUCAAUGGCUGCUAACAUACACACACACACACACACACAUACCCACACACACACAUCACACACACAUACAUGACAUUAUGUGCUAUUUGGUAAAAGGACACAACACAGUAUCAUCUCCAAAGUAGUCUUGCCAAAAAAAAUCAAACCUAUCUAAUCAAAUCUCUAAAUCCAACUACUAAUUUACAGAAAAUACAAGUGAGAGGGAACAUGCUAAACUACACCAUACAAUGUAAUUAACAAAAUUCAUACUGUAGGAAUCUAUUAAUGAAGCAAUUUAGUUUAUUCAACAAAUAAAGUGCAAGGUGAAAGAAGAAUAUGGCGAAUUAUAGAUUAAAAGAGAUUUAAAAGACAUCAUUUUUUAAACUGAUAAAACUUAACUAUAGUGUUUAGGGAUGCACCCUGGAGUGAUAAAGCAUUUUUAAAAAGCAAAGAAGCCUAGUGCAUUACAAGAAUUACUAAAGGACUGGAAGAGUCUGGGUUUUUAUUUUGUAAUAUUUCUAAAACUGAGUCCCUUGAAUGCAAAUCCCCCCCAAAAAAAAUAGAAGGGAUUUUUUUUUUUUUUUUUUAGAAGGAGUUUUGCUCUUGUUGCCCAGGCUGGAGUCCAAUGGCACGAUCUUAACUCACUGCAACCUCUGCCUCCCGGG
rnacentral:lncRNA from 1 species